rnacentral:rRNA from 1 species
UACGGAGGGUGCAAGCGUUAAUCGGAAUUACUGGGCGUAAAGCGCGCGUAGGCGGAUAUUUAAGUCUCAUGUGAAAGCCCUGGGCUCAACCUGGGAACUGCAUGGGAUACUGGGUAUCUAGAAUACAGUAGAGGGUAGUGGAAUUUCAGGUGUAGCGGUGAAAUGCGUAGAGAUCUGAAGGAACAUCAGUGGCGAAGGCGACUACCUGGACUGAUAUUGACGCUGAGGUGCGAAAGCGUGGGGAGCAAACGGGAUUAGAUACCCUAGUAGUCC